GCGGAUGUAGCCGAAGACGAUGGCGACGUCCGCUUGGGCAGCGGUCACGGCGACCGAGGCGAGGUCGGCGCCGUUGUUGUACACGACGCUUCCGCC
rnacentral:tRNA from 1 species